rnacentral:ncRNA from 1 species
CCUGCUAUUCCAUUAGCAGUAGCCUAACAUCACCAAAGCAGUUGGUAACGACUGUGAGGAAGCCUGAUGUGAAAGAGUAGCCCUCCCCCAAAAGGGUCAAGCGGAAGCCGCGAGGUGGACGCGAUAAGCUGCAAGCAACAAUGCGGCUGGGGAG